rnacentral:rRNA from 1 species
GGGACACGUGGUAUCCUGUCUGAAUAUGGGGGGACCAUCCUCCAAGGCUAAAUACUCCUGACUGACCGAUAGUGAACCAGUACCGUGAGGGAAAGGCGAAAAGAACCCCGGCGAGGGGAGUGAAAAAGAACCUGAAACCGUGUACGUACAAGCAGUGGGAGCACCUUCGGGUGUGACUGCGUACCUUUUGUAUAAUGGGUCAGCGACUUAUAUUCUGUAGCAAGGUUAACCGUAUAGGGGAGCCGCAGGGAAACCGAGUCUUAACUGGGCGUUAAGUUGCAGGGUAUAGACCCGAAACCCGGUGAUCUAGCCAUGGGCAGGUUGAAGGUUGGGUAACACUAACUGGAGGACCGAACCGACUAAUGUUGAAAAAUUAGCGGAUGACUUGUGGCUGGGGGUGAAAGGCCAAUCAAACCGGGAGAUAGCUGGUUCUCCCCGAAAGCUAUUUAGGUAGCGCCUCGUGAACUCAUCUUCGGGGGUAGAGCACUGUUUCGGCUAGGGGGUCAUCCCGACUUACCAACCCGAUGCAAACUACGAAUACCGAAGAAUGUUAUCACGGGAGACACACGGCGGGUGCUAACGUCCGUCGUGAAGAGGGAAACAACCCAGACCGCCAGCUAAGGUCCCAAAGUCAUGGUUAAGUGGGAAACGAUGUGGGAAGGCACAGACAGCCAGGAUGUUGGCUUAGAAGCAGCCAUCAUUUAAAGAAAGCGUAAUAGCUCACUGGUCGAGUCGGCCUGCGCGGAAGAUGUAACGGGGCUAAACCAUGCACCGAAGCUGCGGCAGCGACACUAUGUGUUGUUGGGUAGGGGAGCGUUCUGUAAGCCUGCGAAGGUGUGCUGUGAGGCAU